ACUUUCUCUCUCUAGCUAUAGAUAGGCCUUUCUCUCUCACGCAUACAAUCUCAGAUCUGUAUAUGUACAGUAAAUAGAUACACGUAUGUUCAGUUUGCAUUUAUCGCGGCGGUCUCUCAUUCGCUUGGUGCAGGUCGGGACCUGCCUCGCCGGCGACAAUGACGUCAGCUGACGGUGACGGUGGCGUAUCGAUAGAUAUACAUGUUGUUUAUGACGAAAUUUUGGUCCCGCCUUGCAUCAACUGAAUCGGAGACUGCGGUGAAUUUUAAUUGUUUCAAGUAAAUCAGCUUUGUUAUGGAUCGAUCUAAUAUCUACCGAUUGUUUCCUGUGAGGUAUUGAAUUUUUCAAAUGACUUUUGAUAUUAUUUGCUUUAUUUUUGUGUUGUAUUUCGAUUGAAUUUUGCUGGAUCUAACUUUGUCUGUUGAGCAGCGUAUAACUCCAGUGAUAGAUCUAAGAGUAUUUUGCAAAUUCGAUGCCAUCAGUUAAAUGAAGAUGUUUGAUUUUAUUGAGUACAGUUAAUGUUAUGAUUUAGGUAAUCUGUAAUUAAGAAACGUGAUAGAUUGUAUUGGAAGCUUUUCUGCAUUAAUUCCCUUUUUAGGUAGAUUAGGAGGAUGAAGUAACUAAAAGAUUCGGUUUUUGUUGAAUGCUACGUUAAAACUUUGUUACACUGUACUAGAAUCGGCUUUAGAGGCGUUUAGUGCUGUUGUUUUUGCACAGAAUUUGAGUAGCACAAUAAAUUUGUUGAAAAGGAAGAGUUUUUCCCCAUUCCCAAUCCUUUUUGUUUGGUACUACUACCUAUUGCGAUGUUUGUGGGUUGUUGAACUUCAGUGUUAUAUGUGGACUGAGUGUGUAUUGAUAAGACCG
rnacentral:lncRNA from 1 species